CAGAUCCUAGGACCUUGUCCACGGUAAAUCCCACAGGCUCUCUUCCUAAGGACAGUUCAUUCAGGGUUUCUCAGCCCCUCCCAGAUGCUCACCAGGAACCCCUGACUAGAGAGAGGCAUUGCCAUUUCUUACUACCUCAGGCAGGGAGGUAGGGGUGGGGGACAGCUUGAGUCAGAGGAAGAAGAAGGAAGGGAAGUGGCUUCAUCUCUCCCUGCAGAAUCAGGCUCACCACCCCCUCCCAACUCUGGAAUCUAGAGCUGGUUUGUCUCUGCCCCAACUUCCUGUGUCUCUCCGGCCAGACAAGAGUAGAAACAGUGUAACCGCUUCAACCCUGUGUCUACCUUGGACUCCAGGAGAAAGGGCAGCUAUGUAGGGGUGUGCGCUGAGACGCCCUGCCUUUCUACCGUUUUUGUUUAUUUCUGCCUUGACUCUUUUGUGAAGUGAAUGUUAAUUUUGUAUUUCAACUAGUCUGGAAACAUAUGUGCUAUUUACAGAAUUAAAAUUUGCAUACUAACAUUGGCCCUCAUCUUUUCUCCCCUCUCUUCCCUGCCCCCUUACCCCAGGGACCUCGUCCCUCUGUUACCUAAGAUCAGAAUAAAGAAAUAACCCUGGCCUUC
rnacentral:lncRNA from 1 species